AACGCUAGCUACAGGCUUAACACAUGCAAGUCGAGGGGUAGCAGGGUAGCAAUACCGCUGACGACCGGCGCACGGGUGAGUAACACGUAUCCAACCUUCCCAUAACUCGGGGAUAGCCUUUCGAAAGAAAGAUUAAUACCCGAUAGUACUUAAGAAAGGCAUCUUUUUUAAGUUAAAGAUUUAUUGGUUAUGGAUGGGGAUGCGUUCCAUUAGAUAGUUGGUGAGGUAACGGCUCACCAAGUCUUCGAUGGAUAGGGGUUCUGAGAGGAAGGUCCCCCACAUUGGUACUGAGACACGGACCAAACUCCUACGGGAGGCAGCAGUGAGGAAUAUUGGUCAAUGGGCGAGAGCCUGAACCAGCCAAGUGGCGUGAAGGAUGAAGGUCCUAUGGAUUGUAAACUUCUUUUAUAGUAGAAUAAAGUGAUCCACGUGUGGAUUUUUGUAUGUAUACUAUGAAUAAGGAUCGGCUAACUCCGUGCCAGCAGCCGCGGUAAUACGGAGGAUCCGAGCGUUAUCCGGAUUUAUUGGGUUUAAAGGGUGCGUAGGCGGAAUAAUAAGUCAGUUGUGAAAGUUUGCGGCUCAACCGUAAAAUUGCAGUUGAUACUGUUAUUCUUGAGUGUACAUAAGGUAGGCGGAAUUCGUGGUGUAGCGGUGAAAUGCUUAGAUAUCACGAAGAACUCCGAUUG
rnacentral:rRNA from 1 species